rnacentral:rRNA from 1 species
CCCUUAGGUGUUCUGGGCCGCACGCGCGCUACACUGACGAAUGCAACGAGCUUAUAACCUUGGCCGAAAGGUCUGGGUAAUCUCCAAAUUUCGUCGUGAUGGGGAUAGAUUAUUGCAAUUAUUAAUCUUCAACGAGGAAUGCCUAGUAAGCGCAAGUCAUCAGCUUGCGUUGAUUACGUCCCUGCCCUUUGUACACACCGCCCGUCGCUCCUACCGAUUGAAUGGUCCGGUGAAGCGUUCGGACCGUGGCCUUUGGACGGUUCGCCGUCUGUUGGCUGCGGGAAGUUCGUUAAACCUUAUCAUUUAGAGGAAGGAGAAGUCGUAACA